AUACAAAGGUAAAGAACAGGUAAAGAAAAGUGCUUCACAAAUGAUUUAUUUGUCCUGAUUUAUGGAGUAUAUAUGUAUAAGAUUUCAGUUACAGGUCACAAUUUACAAGAGAUACAAUAUUGUUUUAAAGCUUUUUGGUAUGUUUGGAUUCUUAAUAGAGUCUUCAAAAAUCUAAGUUACCACACAAGUAAAUAUUUUCAUAAAGUAUGCAAUCUACAAUAUUUAGAUAGAGGCACUAUGACACGUUCAUUGUCCACCAAACUAAAAAAAUGGUCAUAUUGUGUGUUUUUUACAUACACACAAACAUUGGAUUUUCUGUGUAUUUCAUAACUAAAAUGUAUUUUGCUGAUAUUCUGCUCAACUGCAACUCCUGAGUCCAGCCGUUUUCUCCUAUAAACCUUUUUUUUUUUUUUUUUUUUUAGAUAUUUCACAGCCAUAUUAGAAAUAUUUGUCCUGUUAAGUUUUCAAACUUAGAAUCCCAACAUAUUCCUUUGUUAGACCGAUAUCUUAUUGUGGAGUAUAUUAGCAGACCAUCAGAUCAAGUUACCCCCUAAUCUGAAUUCACGAUCUACACUUUGGGGUAUCUCAUUUGAUGUGUUAUGAGCCUAACAAUGGGCCAUUUUUUCACUGUAAAUAUUUAACGUUAUUUAACCCCUACAGGACGGCGUCAAUAGUGCACGUUCUGAUCAAAACGUAAACAAAAACUGGAAUUUGCGCUAUGUGUCUGUUCAACCGUAAUUCACCGCUGUCACAUUAAGUGCACCCACACUUAUUAUAUAUCAUUUUGUUCAGGAGAAACAGGGCUUUAAUUUAUCAUUAACUAUUCAUAUAUGGAACAUAAUUUAUUAUGAAUAAAAUUUUUAAAAAUGUGAGAAAAUAAGAUUUUUUUUAAUUUGUAUUUAAAUUUACUGUUAGGUUUUACUGCAAAAAAAUGCACAUAUUUGUAAUCAGUGAUGUCUCACGAGUACAACAGUACCCCCCAUUAACAGGUUUUAUGGUGUUUUGGAAAGUUACAGGGUCAAAUAUAGAACGUUCCAUUUUCAUAUUGAAAUUUGCCAGAUUAGUAAUGUUACCUUUGAGACAGUGUGGUAGCCCAGGAAUGAGAAUUACCCCCAUAAUGGCAUACCAUUUGAAAAAGUAGACAACCCAAGGUAUUGAAAGUGGGGUAUGUUUAGUCUUUUUUAGUAGCCACUUAGUCACAAACACUGGCCAAAGUUGGCAUUCAUAUUUGUUUUUGUGUGAAUAAAGCAAAAAACUAAUAUUUGGCCAGUGUUUGUGACUAAGUGGCUACUAAGAAAGACUGGACAUACCCCACUUGCAAUACCUUGGGUUGUCUACUCUCAAAGGCAACAUAACCAAUCUGGCAAAUUUCAAUGUCAAAAAAAUGAAAUGCCAGCCUUAUAUGUGACUCUCUAACUUUCCAAAACACCAUAAAACCUUUACAUGGGGGGUACUGUUAUUCUCGGGAGACUUCACUAAACACAAAUAUUAGUGUUUUAAAACAGUAAAACAUAUUACAUAAUAUAGUCCAUAAAAGUGCCGUUCGUUUGUAAAAAAUGCAAAAAAAGUAACUUUUACUUAAAAUAUCAUUGUUGUAAUACAAUUUACCAGUUUGAAACACUAAAAUUUGAGUUCAGCGAAGUCUCCCGAGUAAAACAGUACCCCCUAUGUACAGGUUUUAUGGUGUCUUGGAGAGUUACAGGGUCAAAUAUAGUGCUUGCGAAUUAAAUUCUCUGCACUUUCUCCCUGUGUUGUCAGGCAUGUCAAUCAAUUUUUAAUUAAUCAAGUCACAUAAUUAUGUUAAAAGAUUACUUAAUUAUACAUGUAGAAUUUUAAUAUAUAUGCAUUUAUAGGUAUUUAAAUUCUACGUGUAUACUAAUGUAAUCUUUUAUGUAAUUAUAUGUAUUUAUCUAUAUAUAUAUAUAU